rnacentral:rRNA from 1 species
GAUGAACGCUGGCGGCGUGCCUAAUACAUGCAAGUCGAGCGAACGGACGAGAAGCUUGCUUCUCUGAUGUUAGCGGCGGACGGGUGAGUAACACGUGGAUAACCUACUUAUAAGACUGGGAUAACUUCGGGAAACCGGAGCUAAUACCGGAUAAUAUUUUGAACCGCAUGGUUCAAAAGUGAAAGACGGUCUUGCUGUCACUUAUAGAUGGAUCCGCGCUGCAUUAGCUAGUUGGUAAGGUAACGGCUUACCAAGGCAACGAUGCAUAGCCGACCUGAGAGGGUGAUCGGCCACACUGGAACUGAGACACGGUCCAGACUCCUACGGGAGGCAGCAGUAGGGAAUCUUCCGCAAUGGGCGAAAGCCUGACGGAGCAACGCCGCGUGAGUGAUGAAGGUCUUCGGAUCGUAAAACUCUGUUAUUAGGGAAGAACAUAUGUGUAAGUAACUGUGCACAUCUUGACGGUACCUAAUCAGAAAGCCACGGCUAACUACGUG